rnacentral:rRNA from 1 species
CAAUAGCGUAUAUUAAAGUUGUUGCAGUUAAAAAGCUCGUAGUUGAAUUUCUGUCAGGAGUGACCGGGCCUUUGGAUGAACUUCCAUUGUUUUUUGCUCUGUUUGUCAUCUCUAGACAUCCUGAAAUAUUUUUUAAAAAUAUUUCUCUUUUACUGUUAGCAAAAUAGAGUGUUCCAAGCAAAGCGUAGUUUUGAAUACAUUAGAAUGGAAUAAUAAGAUAGGACUUUGGUGCUAUUUUGUUGGUUUGCACACCAAGGUAAUAAUUAAUAGGGACAGUUGGGGGUAUUCGUAUUUAAUUGUCAGAGGUGAAAUUCUUGGAUUUAUGAAAGACGAACUACUGCGAAAGCAUUUACCAAGGAUGUUUUCAUUAA